UCAUCAACCUCUUUUAGAAGCUAAUCUCAUGAUUUUUCCCUUGUGGGGCUGAAGAAACAACCAAUAGGAUGCUAUUGGAGGUAGUUGGACAAUUAGUUUCCUGAAGUCAUAGGAAGUUUUGCCCCCUCAAAUUCAACUGAAUAAUUUGACCUGAUGUAACUUGGUUGUGCACCUUUGGCAGAAUAUUUCCACUUGCUUUUCUAUGAUAUAUUACUAUGCUCUAUAUAUUCUUAUAUAUACGUUCUCCAAUCUCCACCCUCUCUGAAUUUUGGGAUAAGGUGAAAAACAACUCAUGUCACUAGAUUUGGUACAUACGCAUUUUAAGAAUAACAAUGCCAUCUUCCGGCCAAGGCGUGUGUUUUAAAGCUGUUUGCAAUAUUUCAUAUUAUCAUUAUGAAUGAAUUUCUAUAACAGAAAUACAAAGUAACCCUUGGUAUAGGAACCUAAUAUGUGAAAUGCUUCGGUUUGGUACAGAUCAGAAAAUAAAACUAAGCUUCUAUCUUUUUGGAUGCAUAAAGCAUCCAGUGUGAUGUUCCUGUGCUUGAAAGGUUUAAUACAUUAGGAUGUGUGGCUUGAAUUAAUCAUGCUUACCGGAAGCUUGCAAGAAGUUUUCACCCGGAUGUAAACAAGUAAGUCAGUAUUGCCAACUUAAUUUUGAAUAAUAGUGUCUACCAUUUUCUUUUCCCUCUUUGCCCUUAAAUUCACUUUCGAUCUUUUAUCCUGCGUGUGUGCAUGUGCACAUGCAUGCAAACACAUGUGUGUUGUGUUUUGUCCUAUGAAAAAAGUAAUCUCAGCUGUGUUACAUUGCAAUUGAAUGUUGAGCCAGAUUGUUUUGUUAUUGAUCUAUCAGCAUGGUCCAUAGAAUUUGAUGGUAGUAUGUUUGAAGGUUUAUGGUUAGUUUAUUUUUCAUUAUAUACAACUGUAGCAUACCAACAGAAAUAAGUGCAAAUCGAAGGCCAUGAAGAAUAUUCUCCCAAACCGUUGGCUCUAUUCAUAUCCUUUAUAACAUGUCAAUAGCAUGUCAAUAGUGGUACAGCUUUAAGAGAAAAAAGCUGCUUGUGGGAUAUAGGUUCAUACCUUGGCCUGGGGAUUUUAGUAGCUUGUGAUUUAAAUCUUAGGGUUGUCGAAGGAGAUGCAUAAAGGCUUUGGUAGAGCAAAUUAAGGUUUGGAUGAAUGUAUGUAAAGUGGAAAAAUGAGUUGGA